UGUAAAGAAAUAUAUUAUUAUAUUAAAAAAACAAAAACCAAUGCACUAAUUGGACCAAAAAUUUCCUUUUUAAUUUUACAUGAUCUAAUGGGAGUACACUCCAUUUAAAUCCUCACAUCUCCAUAAUCAGAGCUCAUAUCCAGAUUAAUUACAAAAUAUCUUUCCCUAUUUUAUCCCAAUCUCAAACCUUCAAACUUUUUUGAGAAUUCAUCUCCAUCUUUAUAUGAAUAUUAAA
rnacentral:lncRNA from 1 species